AAAUUGAAGAGUUUGAUCAUGGCUCAGAUUGAACGCUGGCGGCAGGCCUAACACAUGCAAGUCGAACGGUAACAGGAAACAGCUUGCUGUUUCGCUGACGAGUGGCGGACGGGUGAGUAAUGUCUGGGAAACUGCCUGAUGGAGGGGGAUAACUACUGGAAACGGUAGCUAAUACCGCAUAACGUCGCAAGACCAAAGAGGGGGACCCUCGGGCCUCUUGCCAUCGGAUGUGCCCAGAUGGGAUUAGCUUGUUGGUGGGGUAACGGCUCACCAAGGCGACGAUCCCUAGCUGGUCUGAGAGGAUGACCAGCCACACUGGAACUGAGACACGGUCCAGACUCCUACGGGAGGCAGCAGUGGGGAAUAUUGCACAAUGGGCGCAAGCCUGAUGCAGCCAUGCCGCGUGUAUGAAGAAGGCCUUCGGGUUGUAAAGUACUUUCAGCGGGGAGGAA
rnacentral:rRNA from 1 species